rnacentral:rRNA from 1 species
GAUGAACGCUGGCGGCGUGCUUAACACAUGCAAGUCGAACGGAAAGGCUCCUGCUUGCAGGGGUACUCGAGUGGCGAACGGGUGAGUAACACGUGGGUGAUCUGCCCUGCACUUCGGGAUAAGCCUGGGAAACUGGGUCUAAUACCGGAUAGGACCACAUUUUGGAUGGUGUGGUGGAAAGUGUUUCGGUGUGGGAUGAGCUCGCGGCCUAUCAGCUUGUUGGUGGGGUAAUGGCCUACCAAGGCGUCGACGGGUAGCCGGCCUGGGAGGGUGUACGGCCACCUUGGGUCUCAGAUACGGCCCAGACUCCGACGGGAGGCAGGCGUGGGGAAUAUUGCACAAUGGGCGCCAGCCUGAUGCAGCGGCGCCUCGUGGGGUAUGACGGCCUUCGGGUUGUAGACUCGUUUCUCUAGGGCCGAAGCGUUUUUGUGACGGUACCUGGAGAAGAAGCACCGGCUCACUACGUG